UAGUUGGUAAGGUAACGGCUUACCAAGCCGACGAUCAGUAGCCGGCCUGAGAGGGUGGACGGCCACAUUGGGACUGAGACACGGCCCAGACUCCUACGGGAGGCAGCAGUGGGGAAUAUUGCACAAUGGGGGAAACCCUGAUGCAGCGACGCCGCGUGAAGGAAGAAGUAUCUCGGUAUGUAAAGGUCUAUCAGCAAGGAAGAAGAAAGACGGUACUUGACUAAGAAGCCCUGGCUAACUAC
rnacentral:rRNA from 1 species